GAUUAUGGCUCAGGAUGAACGCUGGCGGCGUGCCUAACACAUCAAGUCGAACGAAUUGCAGAAAUGCAGUGAGUGGCGGACGGGUGAGUAACGCGUAAGCAAUCUGCCUUUGUGUGUGGAAUAACAACCGGAAACAGUUGCUAAUACCGCAUAACGCACAGAGAUCGCAUGAUUUUUUGUGCCAAAGAUUUACCGCACGAAGAUGAGCUUGCGUCCGAUUAGAUAGUUGGCGGGUAACGGCCCACCAAGUCGACGAUCGGUAGCCGGACUGAGAGGUUGAACGGCCACAUUGGAACUGAGAUACGGUCCAGACUCCGUACGGGAGGCAGCAGGUGGGGAAUAGUUGGGCAAUGGACGAAAGUCUGAACCCCAGCGACGCCGCGUGAGGGAAGAAGGUCUUCGGAUUGUAAACCUUAGUCAACAGGGACGAAGCAAGUGACGGUACCUGUGGAGGAAGCCACGGCUAACUACGUGCCAGCAGCCGC
rnacentral:rRNA from 1 species